CCUUGAAGAGGCCCACUUGGAGAGGAGCUGAGGCCUCCCACCAACAGCCAGCACCAACUUGCUAGCCAUGUCAAGUCAGCCUCUUUGGAAAUAGAUGUGCCAUUUCCAGGAAAACUUUCAGAUGACUGCAACCCCAGCCAACACCUGACUGCAGCCAACACUGACUGCAACCCUGAGCCAGAAAUGCUGAGUCAGGCUGCUCCUUAAUUCUUACCCCGUAGAAACUGUGAGGAAGCACCGAGAAGGCAGGUCUGCAAGCCAAGAAGAGGCAUCUCAUCAGGAACCAAACCCUGCCAGAAACUUGAUCUUGGACACCCGUCUCCAGAACUAUAAACAAACUGAGGCAUGAAGAAGAGAGCGCCUGACUCGAGGUGGCACAGUGAUUCCAACCCAUGCAGUCAGACUCCA
rnacentral:lncRNA from 1 species